UUUGUCCAGAGAGUGGGAAAAUUUUGAAAUAUUUGGUCUGAAUCCAGGUUUUAAAAAUUAUUUUUAUGGAUUGAUUAAUAUUAUUAUACACAACAGGACUACAGAAUGUAGGAGGUGGGGUAACUGUCCCCAAAAGAGGUCAUAGCCUUGUUGGAGAGACAACAUAUAAACAUAGAAAAAAAUAAAAGAGGUCUCUUAGGAGACUAUAAAUGAUUAAAGCCUUAAUGAAGGCAGAGGAAGAAGUUUCUAUGGGCACAAAUAAUAAGUAAUGAUGUCUUGCUAGAGAUGUCCUAUUUUAGAACUUAUUGGUGAAUUAUGACAUUCUAAGAUAGGCCUAAGUGUACAAGACUUAGGUCUAAAAUUAGGCAUUAGAAACUGCCUCCCUGCUUGGCCUGGCUGAUGGCAGAGGGAGGUUCAGCAAUACAGGGGAGAUUCAGUAGCCAAAGAUGGGUUCAUCUAUAGCUAUGAUGAGAUAAACAGUUGACACCAAGAUUAUACAUUCUGGUGUCUAGAAGGCGGAUCUUCGUGUAUUCAUCCAUUCUCACACUGCUAUAAAGAUACUACCUGAGACUAAGUAAUUUAUAAAGAAAAGAGGUUAAUUGACUCACAGUUCUACAUGGCUGGCGAGGCUUCAGGAGACUUACAAUCAUGGUGGAAGGUGAAGAAAAAGCAAGGACCUUCUUCACAUGGCAACAAGAGAGAGAAGGGUGAGCAGGGGAAAUGCCAGAUGCUUAUAGAACCAUCAGAUCUUGUGAGAACUCAUUCACUAUCACAAGAACAGCAUCAGGGGGAACCACCCCUAUGAGCCACUCACCUCCCACCAGGUCCCUCCCUUGACACAUGGGGAUUAUGGGGAUUACAAUUCAAGAUGAGAUUUGGGUGGGAACACAAAGCUUCCAUAUCAUUCCGCCCCUGGCCCCUCCCAAGUCUUUUUCUCUCAUUUCAAAACAUAAUCAUGCCUUCCCAACAGUACCUCAAAGUCUUAACUCAUUCCAGCAUUAAACCAAAAGUCCAAGUUCAAAGUCCCAUCUGAGACAAGGCAUGCCACUUCUGUCUAGUAGCCUGUAAAAUCAAAAGCAAGUUAAUUACUUCCAAGAUACUAUGGGGGUAUACGCAUUGGAUAAAUACUCCCAUUCCAAAUGGGAGAAAUUGGCCAAAACAAAGGGGAUACAGGCCCCCAUGCAAGUCUGAAAUCCAGCAGGGCAGUCAUUAAAUCUUUAAGCUCCAAAAGGAUCUCCUGUGACUCCAUGUCUCAUAUCCAGGUCAUGCUGAUGAAAAAGGUGGGCUCCCAUGGCCUUGGGCAGCCCUGCCCCUGUGGCUUUGCAGGGUAUAGCCCCCGCCCUGGCUGCUUUCAUGGCUGGCAUUGAGUAUCUGCGGCUUUUCCAGGCUAAUGGUGCAACCUGUUUGGAGGAUGGUGGCCCUCUUCUCAUAGCUCCAAUUAGGCAGUGCCCCAGUGGGGACUCUGCAUGAGAAAUCCAACUUCACAUUUCCCUUCCACACUGUACUAGCAGAGGUUCUCUGUGAGAGUUCUGCCCCUGCAGAAGACUUCUGCCUGGACAUCUGGGCCAAGAUCAAGGAAAAAGGAACAUAAUUUUGGAUUGGGCUGAAUGUAUUGAUAUGAGAACAUUUGUCUUCCUGGUUUUGGUAUUUGGAUGAUACUGGCUUCACAGAAUGACUUAGGGAGGAUUCCCUUUUUCUCCACUUUUGGAAUAGUUUCAGCAGGAUUGGUACCAAUUCUUCUUUGAAUGUCUGAUAGAAUUCAAUUGUGAAUCCAUCUGGUCCUGGACUUAUUUUUGUUGCAAUUUUUAAAAAUUACUGAUUCAUUGUUACUGCUUGUUAUUGGUCUGUUCCGGGUUUCUAUUUCUUCCUGAUUGAAUCUAGGAGGGUUGUAUAUUUCCACAAAUUUGUGUGUUGAUCUUGUAUUUGCCCAUUCUUUACUAAAUAUCUUAUUAGUUCUAAAAUUUCAGCUGUAAGUAAUAUUUCCCUUUCUCAUGUUGGUACCUCUUAAUUACUUUUCUUAUCAAAUCUCAUUGUCUACAACUUAUAGUCUAAACUUGGAGAUGAC
rnacentral:lncRNA from 1 species